GGGACGCCAUCUCGCACGGAGGCUGUUGGAGCCUGUGUUGCCUCUCCAGCACUGCAGAGCAAAGGAUAUGUUAAAAUUGGAACGACUUAACGUGUCUCUUCAGAAAAGCGGUGCCUUUAUUUCCGGGACUUUUUUUCCCCGGUAGAGAUAUUCGCCAUGUUGUCCACGCUGCUCUCGAACACCUGGACUCAACCUCUCAGAGAACAGAAGAGAUCAAAUCACUAACAUUUUGGAAGCUGGAAAGCUGGACAAUAGGAAUUGACUUAGAAGACUUGUCACCUAUUGAAGGGGAUGGCCAAGAACAAGCUUAGUUUGUCCCAGACAGCCACCAGAGGCUCAAGGAUUGGCAGCACCAGGUACCUCAAGAAGACUGGCCAAUCAAGAGACCACACUUUGAAUUGUACUAUAUUAGACUCCAGGCUUCUGAAACUAAAUUUAUCAACCUCACUAGGGGUUGAUCUUUUCACACACUGCAAACUAGCUCCUCCUCCUCCCUACGCUACAGGUUUUCUACCUCUGGUGCCUGUUUUCUAUAGAUGGUGGCUGUUUUCUGCAGAUGGAUAUCAUGAAGAGAAAUGUUGCAGUUGAGACGGGUUCCCUGAUUUUCAUGGAGAUGAUGGGAUCCUGGGGUAGAAGAAGCCGAAGAGAAUGUGGAUCAAGAAACAAUGUGUAGACUCCUUUUCAAAGUAUAGUUUGGAAAGAAGGGUAACUUUACAGUGUAGAAACCUGACAAACACUACCUUAGUCAGAGAUCAAGGCAAUAAGUAAUGCUGAUAGUAUGUACCCUUGAUAUGAUUUCAUGAGAAUGACAUUUUACCUCUGUGGUUUUCCUCCCAAAGAGCACUAACUCCAGUUUAAUCAUGAGAUAAACAUCAAUCAAAUCCCAACUGAGUGACAUUCUACAAAAUAAUUGACCAGUACUCUUUAAAACCAUCAAAGUCAUCAAAACCAAGGAAAGUCUGAGAAACUGUCAUGGCCAAGAGGAACCUAAGGAGAAAGGAUGACUAAGUAUAAUGUGAUAUCCUUGAUGAGAUCCUGGAACAGAAAAAAGACAUUAUGUUAAGGCCGGGCGCGGUGGCUCACGCCUGUAAUC